rnacentral:tRNA from 1 species
GCCUAGUUCGCUUGGUUGGUAGAAGCGUCUGCCUUGUAAGCGCUAGGCCGGGGGUUCGAUUCCCGCCCGGGGCG